rnacentral:rRNA from 1 species
UCGGGAAUCUUGCACAAUGGGCGAAAGCCUGAUGCAGCAACGCCGUGUGAGCGAGGAAGGCCUUAGGGUCGUAAAGCUCUGUUGUUGGGGACGAAGGGCGAAGGGUUAAUAGCCCCUAGCCUGAUGGUACCCUUCGAGGAAGCCCCGGCUAACUACGUGCCAGCAGCCGCGGUAAUACGUAGGGGGCGAGCGUUGUCCGGAAUUAUUGGGCGUAAAGAGCGUGUCGGCGGCCUGGUAAGUCUGCCGUGAAAACCUGGGGCUCAACCCUGGGCGUGCGGUGGAUACUGCUAGGCUAGAGGAUGGUAGAGGCGAGUGGAAUUCCCGGUGUAGAGGUGAAAUUCGUAGAUAUUCGGAGGAACACCAGUGGCGAAGGCGGCUCACUGGCCAGAUACUGACACUGAGGUGCGAAAGUGUGGGGAGCAAACAGGAUUAGAUACCCGUGUAGUCC